UGGGGUAUAGCCAAGCGGUAAGGCAGCGGACUUUGACUCCGUCAUCCCGCUGGUUCGAAUCCAGCUACCCCAACCA
rnacentral:tRNA from 1 species